GACGAACGCUGGCGGCGUGCUUAAUACAUGCAAGUCGAGCGAGGUUACUGUUUUGGAUCCCUUCGGGGUGAAGAAGCUUUAACCUAGCGGCGGACGGGUGAGUGACGCGUGGGUAACCUACCCCAAAGUCCGGGAUAACAGCGGGAAACCGCUGCUAAUACCGGAUGCCUUUACCUUGGGGCAUCUUGAGGUAAAGAAAGGUAACGCUUUGGGAUGGGCCCGCGUCCCAUUAGCUAGUUGGUGAGGUAACGGCUCACCAAGGCGACGAUGGGUAGCCGGCCUGAGAGGGUGGACGGCCACACUGGGACUGAGACACGGCCCAGACUCCUACGGGAGGCAGCAGUAGGGAAUAUUGCGCAAUGGACGGAAGUCUGACGCAGCGACGCCGCGUGAGCGAUGAAGGUCUUCGGAUCGUAAAGCUCUGUCCUUGGGGAAGAAGGCGAAAGCUUGACGGUACCCAAGAAGAAAGCCCCGGCUAACUACGUGCCAGCAGCCGCGGUAAUACGUAGGGGGCGAGCGUUGUCCGGAAUUACUGGGCGUAAAGGGUGCGUAGGCGGCCCUUUAAGUCGGAUGUGAAAGCCCGCGGCUUAACCGCGGAAUGGCAUUCGAAACUGGAGGGCUUGAGUGUCGGAGAGGGUAGUGGAAUUCCCAGUGUAGCGGUGAAAUGCGUAGAUAUUGGGAGGAACACCAGUGGCGAAGGCGACUACCUGGACGAUAACUGACGCUGAGGCACGAAAGCUAGGGGAGCAAACAGG
rnacentral:rRNA from 1 species